AGCAGUUUGGCUUAGAGGAAAGAGCAUGGACUUAGGAGCCAGAGGAUGUGGGUUCUAAUCCUGCCUCUGCCA
rnacentral:tRNA from 1 species